rnacentral:rRNA from 1 species
AUUGAACGCUGGCGGCAGGCUUAUCACAUGCAAGUCGAGCGGGGGAGGUUGCUUCGGUAACUGACCUAGCGGCGGACGGGUGAGUAAUGCUUAGGAAUCUGCCUAUUAGUGGGGGACAACAUUCCGAAAGGAAUGCUAAUACCGCAUACGCCCUACGGGGGAAAGCAGGGGAUCUUCGGACCUUGCGCUAAGAGAGGAGCCUAAGUCGGAUUAGCUAGUUGGUGGGGUAAAGGCCUACCAAGGCGACGAUCUGUAGCGGGUCUGAGAGGAUGAUCCGCCACACUGGGACUGAGACACGGCCCAGACUCCUACGGGAGGCAGCAGUGGGGAAUAUUGGACAAUGGGGGGAACCCUGAUCCAGCCAUGCCGCGUGUGUGAAGAAGGCCUUUUGGUUGUAAAGCACUUUAAGCGAGGAGGAGGCUACCGAGACUAAUACUCUUGGAUAGUGGACGUUACUCGCAGAAUAAGCACCGGCUAACUCUGUGCCAGCAGCCGCAGUAACAC